AGAGUUUGAUCCUGGCUCAGAUUGAACGCUGGCGGCAGGCCUAACACAUGCAAGUCGAGCGGCAGCACGGGUACUUGUACCUGGUGGCGAGCGGCGGACGGGUGAGUAAUGCCUAGGAAUCUGCCUGGUAGUGGGGGAUAACGUUCGGAAACGGACGCUAAUACCGCAUACGUCCUACGGGAGAAAGUGGGGGAUCUUCGGACCUCACGCUAUCAGAUGAGCCUAGGUCGGAUUAGCUAGUUGGUAGGGUAAAGGCCUACCAAGGCGACGAUCCGUAACUGGUCUGAGAGGAUGAUCAGUCACACUGGAACUGAGACACGGUCCAGACUCCUACGGGAGGCAGCAGUGGGGAAUAUUGGACAAUGGGCGAAAGCCUGAUCCAGCCAUGCCGCGUGUGUGAAGAAGGUCUUCGGAUUGUAAAGCACUUUAAGUUGGGAGGAAGGGCAUUAAGUUAAUACCUUGGUGUCUUGACGUUACCGACAGAAUAAGCACCGGCUAACUCUGUGCCAGCAGCCGCGGUAAUACAGAGGGUGCAAGCGUUAAUCGGAAUUACUGGGCGUAAAGCGCGCGUAGGUGGUUCAGUAAGUUGGAUGUGAAAUCCCCGGGCUCAACCUGGGAACUGCAUCCAAAACUGCUGAGCUAGAGUAUGGUAGAGGGUGGUGGAAUUUCCUGUGUAGCGGUGAAAUGCGUAGAUAUAGGAAGGAACACCAGUGGCGAAGGCGACCACCUGGACUGAUACUGACACUGAGGUGCGAAAGCGUGGGGAGCAAACAGGAUUAGAUACCCUGGUAGUCCACGCCGUAAACGAUGUCGACUAGCCGUUGGAAUCCUUGAGAUUUUAGUGGCGCAGCUAACGCAUUAAGUCGACCGCCUGGGGAGUACGGCCGCAAGGUUAAA
rnacentral:rRNA from 1 species